rnacentral:tRNA from 1 species
GCCUCAGUGGCUCAGUCGGUAGAGCGUGUCCUUGGUAAGGACAAGGUCGAGGGUUCGAUUCCCUCCUGAGGCUC